CACACAACCUUAAAGGAAAAUCCCUACUAGUUUCAACAUCCAAUUAUAUUGUUCUCACUACCACUGGCUUGUCAGGACCCAACAACGCAGUUCAGGAUAAAUGUGUAUGUCAACUGUAUUGUAGGCCUAUUACUUUAACAACAAAAUCACAAUAACUGCUUUUUUUUGGCUGUAGGACACAAGUAAAAGGAGAAGAAUGCUGCUCAGCUGGGUUGGCGAAGCUCUUGGAUAUCAUCAGCACAUGUAUGAAGCACAGAGUCAUUCCGGUAGGCACAGAGUUGUUCCUCGAUGGACGUGAUGACCUGGCACCAAAACCGCUUAAUGUGUAUGAGGCUGUGUCUGCAUCGAGGGAAGAACCCAGCACUGAAAUGACACAAAUGAAAGAAGAGUACUUCUGCUCUGCUGGGUCUGCGACACUACUUAUCCGAGGAGUCCUCAAACAUCAGGAUGUAGGAAGACACAAGUAAAAGGAGAAGAAUGCUGCUCAGCUGGGUCGGCGGUCACACUACUUAUUCAAGAAGCUCUUGGAUAUCAUCGGCAUGUAUAAAGCACAGUCAUUCCGGUAUGCACGGAGUCGUUCCUCGAUGGACGUGAUGACCUGGCACCAAAACCGCUUAAUUUGUAUGAAGCUGUGUCUGCAUCGAGGGAAGAACCCAGCACUGAAAUGACACAAAUGAAAGAGGACGUCUUCUCUGCUGGGUGUGCGACACUACUUAUUCUAGGAAUCCUCAAACAUCAGGAUGUAGGAAACUUAUGGUGAGAUGCCAAGAGCCGCCAUGAGGGAUAUGCAACCUGCAGCUUCACCAUGCUUUUGGGAGAUCAUGUACUACGUGAACCUUGAGUAUCUACAAGCCAGCUACUUUAAGUUCUUGAAAGGGUAGUGAUGUCAUUCAAGCCAGAUCACGAGACAAGGUCCUGUACAAACUGUCAAUCUAAAUGUUGCGACAUCCCUGUCAGUUCUUUUGGACUGAAUACAUGCUGUGUUUGAAAUAUAUUAUUCGGAUAACUCCCCAUCAGAGAAUACCUUGUCUGUUAAUGACGGAUGGACAUGCCAUUGACAUGCCGUGCACACUUUGAUGUUUUUUAUUUUAAUGUUUUCUAUGUUUUCCAAUGUUCUUUUUUUAUUUAUGUUCUGUUAUAUGCUGGUUAUGUAAGUACUGUAUGGAAUGUAGUGACUGUAGAGACCAAGACAAAUUUCAACCUGGGGACAAAAAGUUCACACCACUCUGUUAGCGCAGUUAUGGAUACACUGUAA